GAAAUGCGAUAAGUAAUGUGAAUUGCAGAAUUCAGAGAAUCAUCGAAUCUUUGAACGCACCUUGCGCUCCUUGGUAUUCCUUGGAGCAAGCCUGUUUGAGUAUCAUGAAAUCUUCAAAGUAAAUCUUUUGUUAACUCAAUUGGUUUCUACUUUGGUAUUGGAGGUCUUUGCAGCUUCACACCUGCUCCUCUUUGUUCAUUAGCUGGAUCUCAGUGUUAUGCUUGGUUCCACUCGGCGUGAUAAGUUAUCUAUCGCUGAGGACACUGUAAAAGGUGGCCAAGGUAAAUGCAGAUGAACCGCUUCUAAUAGUCCAUUGACUUGGACAAUACUUUUAUGAUCUGAUCUCAAAUCAGGUAGGACUACCCGCUGAACUUAAGC
rnacentral:misc_RNA from 1 species